rnacentral:rRNA from 1 species
UACGGAGGAUGCAAGCGUUAUCCGGAAUGAUUGGGCGUAAAGCGUCCGCAGGUGGCUGUGUAAGUCUGCUGUUAAAGAGUCUAGCUCAACUAGAUAAAAGCAGUGGAAACUACACGGCUAGAGUACGUUCGGGGCAGAGGGAAUUCCUGGUGUAGCGGUGAAAUGCGUAGAGAUCAGGAAGAACACCGGUGGCGAAGGCGGCUAUCUGGACCGACAUUGACGCUGAGGCGCGAAAGCGUGGGGAGCAAACAGG